rnacentral:tmRNA from 1 species
GGGGAUGACACGGAUUCGACGGGUGGUAACGGACGACAGACCGCGAGCCGAGCCUCCUGGUACGCUCGCCAAAACUGUCAGGAACCCGUAAAUGCGAACGAUUACUCGUACGCGAUGGCGGCGUAAACACGCCCCCAUCUGUCUCUAAGGUGCUCGGCUAUCGGCGCGUUUAGAGGCAUCGACUCAGGUAGCCUCUGGCCGCCCGGUGCUUCCGGCUGAAGCAUCGGCGGCGACGCGGGGCAACCCCCCGAACCAGCCUCGGCUUUCUUCUGGCCCCGUCUGCCGGCUAAAGAAGAAAGCGACGCUCAAAUAAGCGGACUAUGCUCGUAGACGUCUGAAUCGGACGGCCACGCGGACCCGGGUUCGACUCCCGGCAUCUCCACCU